rnacentral:rRNA from 1 species
AGCGUUUGACGUUAGCAACAGAAGAAGCACCGGCUAACUCCGUGCCAGCAGCCGCGGUAAUACGGAGGGUGCGAGCGUUAAUCGGAAUUACUGGGCGUAAAGCGCAUGCAGGCGGUCUGUUAAGCAAGAUGUGAAAGCCCGGGGCUCAACCUCGGAACAGCAUUUUGAACUGGCAGACUAGAGUCUUGUAGAGGGGGGUAGAAUUUCAGGUGUAGCGGUGAAAUGCGUAGAGAUCUGAAGGAAUACCGGUGGCGAAGGCGGCCCCCUGGACAAAGACUGACGCUCAGAUGCGAAAGCGUGGGGAGCAAACAGGAUUAGAUACCCUGGUAGUCCACGCCGUAAACGAUGUCUACUUGAAGGUUGUGGCCUUGAGCCGUGGCUUUCGGAGCUAACGCGUUAAGUAGACCGCCUGGGGAGUACGGUCGCAAGAUUAAAACUCAAAUGAAUUGACGGGGGCCCGCACAAGCGGUGGAGCAUGUGGUUUAAUUCGAUGCAACGCGAAGAACCUUACCUACUCUUGACAUCCAGAGAAUUCGCUAGAGAUAGCUUAGUGCCUUCGGGAACUCUGAGACAGGUGCUGCAUGGCUGUCGUCAGCUCGUGUUGUGAAAUGUUGGGUUAAGUCCCGCAACGAGCGCAACCCUUAUCCUUGUUUGCCAGCAC